rnacentral:rRNA from 1 species
CACACCGCCCGUCGCUCCUACCGAUUGAAUGGUCCGGUGAAGUGUUCGGAUCGCGGUGACGCGAGCGGUUCCCCGCCUUUGACGUCACGAGAAGUCCACUAAACCUUAUCAUUUAGAGGAAGGAGAAGUCGUAACAAGGUUUCCGUAGGUGAACCUGCGGAAGGAUCAUUA